rnacentral:rRNA from 1 species
GGGAAUACGCUCUGGAAACGGAGAACAAAUCCCGAUGUACAGGAAGGAGGCAUCUUCUUUCUGUGAAACAUCCUUUAGGGGAUGGGGCGCGGAUGGACCUGCGGUGCAUUAGUUGGUUGGCGGGGUAAAGGCCCACCAAGACGAUGAUGCAUAGCCGGCCUGAGAGGGCGGACGGCCACAUUGGGACUGAGACACGGCCCAGACUCCUGCGGGAGGCAGCAGUAGGGAAUUUUCGUCAAUGGGCGCAAGCUUGAACGAGCGAUGCCGCGUGAGUGAAGAAGGCCUUCGGGUCGUAAAGCUCUGUUGCGGGGGAAAAAAGGCAGCAUCAGGAAAUGGGUGUGACUGAUGGUGCCCCGCCAGAAAGUCACGGCUAACUACGUGCCAGCAGCCGCGGUAAUACGUAGGUGGCGAGCGUUAUCCGGAAUGAUUGGGCGUAAAGGGUGCGCAGGCGGUCCUGCAAGUCUGGAGUGAAACGCAUGAGCUCAACUCAUGCAUGGCUUUGGAAACUGGAGGACUGGAGAGCAGGAGAGGGCGGUGGAACUCCAUGUGUAGCGGUAAAAUGCGUAGAUAUAUGGAAGAACACCAGUGGCGAAGGCGGCCGCCUGGCCUGUUGCUGACGCUGAGGCACGAAAGCGUGGGGAGCAAAUAGGAUUAGAUACCCUAGUAGUCCACGCCGUAAACGAUGAG